UACGAAGGGUGCAAGCGUUAAUCGGAAUUACUGGGCGUAAAGCGUGCGUAGGCGGUUAUUUAAGUCUGUUGUGAAAUCCGGGCUCAACCUGGGAAUGGCAAUGGAUACUGGAUAGCUAGAGUGUGAUAGAGGAUGGUGGAAUUCCCGGUGUAGCGGUGAAAUGCGUAGAGAUCGGGAGGAACAUCAGUGGCGAAGGCGGCCAUCUGGAUCAACACUGACGCUGAGGCACGAAAGCGUGGGGAGCAAACAGG
rnacentral:rRNA from 1 species